GUAAUAAGGAAUUCUGAAGAGUGUGUACACAACGUUUAAUCUAAAUAUCGUGUUUAAAUUCGCGGUUUCUUUAGGCCUUUUGAUCAAUAAUUAUUUAUUUGAUUUACGUAAAUUUCCCUUUUGUGAAUUCCUUGUUAGUAGCUCAUCCUUCUCUUCUUAUGUUCCAAGUAAAUGCUAUAGAGUGGUAAACAUGCAGAACUUAAUGAUUAUUCGGCCGAAUAUUUACAAAUUUUUACAAACCUGAAUGUCACACCUGCGCAUUGGUUUUCCCGGGAAAAUGCAUACAUCGGAAUGACUAGAUUUGGAACGAUAAGUAUCUUCAUAAGGACUUUUUUCUGCGAAAAUAACUCUUCUAAUCCAAACUAAUAUCCUACUUAAGUAUUGCAUUUUGAAAUGAUGUGAUGAUUUGAGCUCUUACAUAUUAUUUAUUUUUAUUUUUAGCGUUUAUGCUUUUAAAUCGGCAGCGGAAAAUAUGCCUAACGCCUUCCCUUUCAUGUCCGACACCUCAUAUGAACUGGUGCCGACCUUCCUCAUGAUGAUACACGGAACAUAUUGUGGUAGCAGCUUUGCGUUAAACUGGUUCCCAGCAGACGACAGACGAAAGCUACGCUUAUAGAUCUGUUGACCCACAUUAAACGUCGGUAUGGAAGUCACGUUGGCAGCUAACAUCGCAGUUCUGCAAUCUGACCUGGUGUUCCGAAACAAGACGUCAAAUUUUCUGAUAUCAUCCCACUGUUUGGACAUACUCCGGAAAAUUUUCACCAUAUCCAGAUAGUAAUCUUGGAAUUUCUCCCUCGGACCCUGUCUCCGUGAACCAGCCAGACGUUCGUACUGGUAGUCAAUGUCCUCAGCCUUCAACAGACUACGCAAUGCUCUUUCCUGUUUACUACGAGAUUCGCCAUUCAUUUUUACUUCACGGAUUUCUAAUUCAUGGUCUAAUUCAUCGUCGGCCAGAUGUGCAGCAUUCAACGCGUAAUAUUGCGCCUGCAAGUGAGCUUGCUCCAUCGUUCAACGUUUGCGUACAAUUUUAGCAAAAUUAUAAAAAUUAAAAUUUAAAAAGAACUACCUAUUUACGCUUCAAGCAAUCGUGUAUGCUAAAACUUAACUUUAAAAUUUUAAUAAUUGAAAAUUCUAGUUUAAGGCUUGAAAAUAAAUCAAUCUUUUUCUCUGGUGUUUUAACAACUUCCUCCGAAACACACUCAAACGAUAAAACACUUCGCUCCGUUCUAACAAAAUCAAUUGACUCGCUUUUCAAACAAUCGUUAUUUGUUACGGUUUUAUGAACAAUCAGAACCCCUCCGCUGCAAAUAAAAUAUUUUAUAAACUGUGUCAGGUCAAGUUAUAAUUCCAACUGUGGUAAUUGUCUUGUGAAGGCCUGGAUUUUUUCCCAGAGACUUCUGUAGAAACCAGCUAUCUCAUGUGCGAUCUCCCAAGCUGGAUGUUUAAAACAGCUGCCGAUAAGGCAAUUUUAAGUUGGGCGCCAAAGUGUAAGUGCUUACUACCUCAGUUGGGAGCGAUCCUGAGAAUCCCUGACUACAAUGGCCUCAGGGUCGGCACGCUUACCGAACUAGGUUCCACGUGGCAAGGAAU